UACGAAGGGGGCUAGCGUUGCUCGGAAUCACUGGGCGUAAAGGGUGCGUAGGCGGGUCUUUAAGUCAGGGGUGAAAUCCUGGAGCUCAACUCCAGAACUGCCUUUGAUACUGAGGAUCUUGAGUACGGGAGAGGUGGGUGGAACUGCGAGUGUAGAGGUGAAAUUCGUAGAUAUUCGCAAGAACACCAGUGGCGAAGGCGGCUCACUGGCCCGUAACUGACGCUGAGGCACGAAAGCGUGGGGAGCAAACAGG
rnacentral:rRNA from 1 species